rnacentral:rRNA from 1 species
CGAAGCGACGUCAAAGCGUAUACAAAGUCGAGUCGGUUUAAGGAUACGUUCGUUGGGUAGGGGAGCGUUCUGUAAGCCUGUGAAGGUGUGUCGUGAGGCAUGCUGGAGGUAUCAGAAGUGCGAAUGCUGACAUAAGUAACGAUAAAGCGGGUGAAAAGCCCGCUCGCCGGAAGACCAAGGGUUCCUGUCCAACGUUAAUCGGGGCAGGGUGAGUCGACCCCUAAGGCGAGGCCGAAAGGCGUAGUCGAUGGGAAACGGGUUAAUAUUCCCGUACUUGGUGUUACUGCGAAGGGGGGACGGAGAAGGCUAUGUUGGCCGGGCGACGGUUGUCCCGGUUUAAGCGUGUAGGUGUGUGUUCCAGGUAAAUCCGGUUCACUUUAACACUGAGGCGUGACGACGAGGCACUACGGUGCUGAAGCAACAAAUGCCCUGCUUCCAGGAAAAGCCUCUAAGCAUCAGGUAACAUCAAAUCGUACCCCAAACCGACACAGGUGGUCAGGUAGAGAAUACCAAGGCGCUUGAGAGAACUCGGGUGAAGGAACUAGGCAAAAUGGUGCCGUAACUUCGGGAGAAGGCACGCUGACACGUAGGUGAAGUGAUUUACUCAUGGAGCUGAAGUCAGUCGAAGAUACCAGCUGGCUGCAACUGUUUAUUAAAAACACAGCACUGUGCAAACACGAAAGUGGACGUAUACGGUGUGACGCCUGCCCGGUGCCGGAAGGUUAAUUGAUGGGGUCAGCGCAAGCGAAGCUCCUGAUCGAAGCCCCGGUAAACGGCGGCCGUAACUAUAACGGUCCUAAGGUAGCGAAAUUCCUUGUCGGGUAAGUUCCGACCUGCACGAAUGGCGUAAUGAUGGCCAGGCUGUCUCCACCCGAGACUCAGUGAAAUUGAACUCGCUGUGAAGAUGCAGUGUACCCGCGGCAAGACGGAAAGACCCCGUGAACCUUUACUAUAGCUUGACACUGAACAUUGAGCCUUGAUGUGUAG